AAAUUGAAGAGUUUGAUCAUGGCUCAGAUUGAACGCUGGCGGCAGGCCUAACACAUGCAAGUCGAACGGUAACAGGAAGCAGCUUGCUGCUUUGCUGACGAGUGGCGGACGGGUGAGUAAUGUCUGGGAAACUGCCUGAUGGAGGGGGAUAACUACUGGAAACGGUGGCUAAUACCGCAUAACGUCGCAAGACCAAAGAGGGGGACCUUCGGGCCUCUUGCCAUCAGAUGUGCCCAGAUGGGAUUAGCUUGUUGGUGAGGUAACGGCUCACCAAGGCGACGAUCCCUAGCUGGUCUGAGAGGAUGACCAGCCACACUGGAACUGAGACACGGUCCAGACUCCUACGGGAGGCAGCAGUGGGGAAUAUUGCACAAUGGGCGCAAGCCUGAUGCAGCCAUGCCGCGUGUAUGAAGAAGGCCUUCGGGUUGUAAAGUACUUUCAGCGGGGAGGAAGGUGUUGUGGUUAAUAACCGCAGCAAUUGACGUUACCCGCAGAAGAAGCACCGGCUAACUCCGUGCCAGCAGCCGCGGUAAUACGGAGGGUGCAAGCGUUAAUCGGAAUUACUGGGCGUAAAGCGCACGCAGGCGGUCUGUCAAGUCGGAUGUGAAAUCCCCGGGCUCAACCUGGGAACUGCAUUCGAAACUGGCAGGCUUGAGUCUUGUAGAGGGGGGUAGAAUUCCAGGUGUAGCGGUGAAAUGCGUAGAGAUCUGGAGGAAUACCGGUGGCGAAGGCGGCCCCCUGGACAAAGACUGACGCUCAGGUGCGAAAGCGUGGGGAGCAAACAGGAUUAGAUACCCUGGUAGUCCACGCCGUAAACGAUGUCUACUUGGAGGUUGUGCCCUUGAGGCGUGGCUUCCGGAGCUAACGCGUUAAGUAGACCGCCUGGGGAGUACGGCCGCAAGGUUAAAACUCAAAUGAAUUGACGGGGGCCCGCACAAGCGGUGGAGCAUGUGGUUUAAUUCGAUGCAACGCGAAGAACCUUACCUGGUCUUGACAUCCACGGAAGAAUUCAGAGAUGGAUUUGUGCCUUCGGGAACCGUGAGACAGGUGCUGCAUGGCUGUCGUCAGCUCGUGUUGUGAAAUGUUGGGUUAAGUCCCGCAACGAGCGCAACCCUUAU
rnacentral:rRNA from 1 species